GCAUAUCAAUAAGCGGUGGAAAAGAAACCAACAGGGAUUGCCUUAGUAACGGCGAGUGAAGCGGCAAAAGCUCAAAUUUGAAAUCUGGCACCUUCGGUGUCCGAGUUGUAAUUUGAAGAAGGAAGAUUUAUGGGUCUUGUCUAAGUUCCUUGGAAAAGGACAUCACAGAGGGUGAGAAUCCCGUGCGAUGAGAUUCCGUAUUGUAAUCUUCCUUCGAAGAGUCGAGUUGUUUGGGAAUGCAGCUCUAAGUGGGUGGUAAAUUCCAUCUAAAGCUAAAUAUUGGCGAGAGACCGAUAGCGAACAAGUACUGUGAAGGAAAGAUGAAAAGAACUUUGAAAAGAGAGUGAAAAAGUACGUGAAAUUGUUGAAAGGGAAGGAUUUGAGAUCAGACUUGGUAUUUUGCAACCUUACUCUCGUGGUGGGGCCCCUGCAGUUUAUCGGGCCAGCAUCAGUUUGGACGAUGGGAUAAUGACUCAGGAAUGUGAUUCUACUUCGGUGGAAAGUUAUAGCCUUUGUUGAUACCGUCUGUCUAGACUGAGGACUGCGUCUUUUGACAAGGAUGUUGGCAUAAUGAUCUUAAAUCACCCGUCUUGAAACACGGACC
rnacentral:rRNA from 1 species